GACGAACGCUGGCGGCGUGCUUAACACAUGCAAGUCGAACGGACAGGCCCUGCUUUUGUGGGGUGCUCGAGUGGCGCACGGGUGAGUAACACGUGAGUAACCUGCCCUUGACUUUGGGAUAACUUCAGGGAACUGCGGCUAAUACCGGAUAGGAGCUCCUGCUGCAUGGUGGGGGUUGGAAAGUUUCGGCGGUUGGGGCUGGACUCGCGGCUUAUCAGCUUGUUGGUGGGGUAGUGGUUUACCAAGGCUUUGACGGGUAGCCGGCCUGAGAGGGUGACCGGCCACAUGGGGACUGAGAGACGGACCAGAAUCCUACGGGAGGCAGCAGUGGGGAAUAUGGCACAGUGGGCGGAAGCCUGAUGCAGCAACGCCGCGUGCGGGAUGACGGCUUUCUGGUGGUAAACCGCUUUCGCCUUAGACGAGGCGGGAGUGACGGUAAUGGGUAAAGAAGCACCGGCUAACUACGUG
rnacentral:rRNA from 1 species